rnacentral:tRNA from 1 species
GGGCUUGUAGCUCAAUGCUAUGAUUAGAGCACUUGGGUACGAACCACGGUGUCAGAGGUUCAAAUCCCUACUUGCCCA